rnacentral:lncRNA from 1 species
UCAAUGCCUAAUACUUAAUAGGUACUCAGUGAACAUUAUCCUACUUAAAAAUGAGUUUCAGAAGGCACUCUGUGAAGGAUAAAGAAAACAGAAGAAACUGAAGAGUUAAAAACUAACAUAAGAGAACCACAUAUCAUGAAAGAGAGUUAAAUAGUAUCACAUAUAAAAUAAUCAGCAUCUGCACAGGAGUUAUUAGAAGUUUUAUAAAAUCGUAAAAUACGCAUGUUUCAAAUUUGUAAAACAGUUAAUGAAGUAAUAGAAAACACAAUGGGGAUGCUGUUUAACAAGAUCUAAGGAAAAAACACUUAGAAACAAAACAGCAGAGUUAGGUAAAUUAAGCACUAAUGGAUAAGUUAAAGAGCAAGUUAAACACUGGAAAAGAGAGAAAUCAGAACCUCAUCUUCAGGUACGAUGGACUUGUAAAUUUACAUAUGAUUUGCUACUGUGAAUAAUUAGGACAAAACAACACAUAUAUAUUUUUAAAAUAUAUUUCAUAUUGCAUAGGCAAAGUAAGGGAGAUAUCUGAAUUGAAAAACCUUCACCUUCAAUUUUGAGGAUGUUUUCUCCCAGGGGCUGUCUGAUGACUCUAGCUGAGAAUCAGCUGAGAGUAUGAAAAAGCUAGCAAGGUUUUAAUAACCGUUUGCUUUAGUGGGUUAAUAAAUGGAGUUAGAGUAGGCUAAGAAGCAGGAGGAGGCAGAUGGGUUCUGGUUAAAAUAAACAAAUAAACAAAAACAUUGGUUUCAGGUUGGCAGUCCAAGAAGGAAAAUGUGAAUUGGAAAUAGAUUUUUGCUAUUCCAGGAAUUUAAGUCUGUCUUUGAGUUAUUGCAAACACUGAAACUGGAUACAGAGGAUCUGGAAACAGUAACAUUUCCUAUCUUGGCCUUGGCCUUGCCCUUCAAAAAGCAAAAGUAUAUUGUCCCCGAAGAGAGUAGAUAUUACUUUAGCCAUUAAUGGAUAGAAGGAUGCAUAAAAAUCUCUAAAAUACAAUAAAAGUAAUUAAGAUUCAAGGAUACAAGAAAAUUUGCUACAAACUCCAAAUAAUUACUAUUAUAAAUAUUGAUUGUCCAAAUGCUCCAUUUAUGAGAACAAAUAUUUUCAGACAGGGAUAAAUUUCAAUAAUGUAUAGCUUAAAAGAACCCUAUCUUUAUAAAAGGAAUGCAAUAAACUUAAAAAGACAGGAGAAAAAAGAUUUACUGUGCUAAUAAAUAAUCAAGAAAAAUUAGUGUAGUUUAAUAACAUUUAAAGAGGUCAAAGUGUACAGUGUCCCUUCAAAGGGACAUGCACUGCCCAUACCAAUGCCUCACAGCUAUGUCAGUUGCCUUUUUUUUGGCCACAGAGGGCCUCUAAAAUUCACUUUGACAACAAUAUCACACUGUUUCACUCACUCUCCUGGUACUACUUUGAUUUCUAAGGAGGCACUUUGACCCCCUAAAAGUCUCAGUCAUCUCCGGUGUUUAAAUUAAGGUCAAGGUGUCAGAGAGUCAACUGUGGUAAAAGGCCUAAAACUAAAGGUCAGUAAUAUGUGAUAUCUUGACCUCUUGUGGGAUUAAAGGGGCUCAAAUGGCCUAACCCAAAUUUCUCCUCCCUAGUUUGCUGUCAUGGAUAAGACCUCUCGCCCAACAAUCUGCCUAAUAAAAAGAGGGCUAGGUGUAACUUUCUACUUGUUCCAGAGUAGUGGGUUUCAGAACUAAACCACAGAAUUACUCAAAUAAGCCAAUCAAACCCCAUCAUGGGAACAAGGGAAUACCCUCAUUCUCUUGAUACUACAAAAUCACGCCACUCACAGCCCAUUUUUUUCACUCAAUUCUUCAAGUGCAACCCUGUACGAUGCUGUAUGGAGCAGUGUCCUUCUCUCCCAGGCUAUGAGGAUGUGACUAAUAAACUAUAUCUCACCUGCCCAGUGUCAGGUGUCCUAUGUUUAUCUUCUUAAUUCUAGAAUUUGAACCCCUUCCUCACCAAUGGGGAGAGGAGGACUUGAUAAAAACAGAAAAGUUAGGAAGGGAGGAAAGGAGGAGAUAAAUUCAGAUCGUAAACAUCUAGAAAACAUUUAGAAUAUAAAAGAAAUGUGAGUUUUUUCCUCCCCAAUGUAUUAAUAACAUAAUUACCUGUAUUAAUAACAUGUAUUACCUGUAUUUGUUCUUAGGUCAUUGAACCUAGAGUAAAAACACUUUUUUUAAUUCUCAGAAAAUAAGUAUUGUUUCCUAAAUACUUGUUUGAUUGAUUGCUGUAUUGAUUUUUAAGAUCUAUUACUGUGUCAUUUCUAUAAAAUAUUUCCAUUCUUUUGAGGUUGUGGUAGAACUUUACAGAGAGUUUUUUUUAAAUGUUUAAAAUGUAGUAAAUACAUUCCAAGAAGAAAAUUUACUCAGCACCACUAGUUGUAAAAUAAAAACCAAAGCUCUUUCAUGAACACUAAUAGCAUCCUUAUGGUGUCUGUCAUCAGCAUUUUAAUGAGGAUGUCAACACAGUCCUACUAUUAAUGUUAGAGGAAAUUUUAGUAUAGAAAACUUUGGUACCAUUGUGGAACACUUUAAAAUUCUUAGAUAUUAAAAUCCACUAUUUAACCUAAUAAAUUAUAUUUAGAAUUUAUAUAUAAAUAAAAAUAGCAAUAAUCAUAUGUUAUAAUAGGACCUAGGCAAAUCCUUUCUAAAGAGAACUAGAACUAAAUGAAUCAUAAUUGAGGUGAAACCCUGGUCAGUGGGGUUCUUUAAUAGAUCAUCCCCUGCCUUGUCAAAAAUAUUAAAAUUAACAAAUAUCCUGUUUUACCUCUGCCUUUUUUUUUUUUCCUCCUUUUUCGGACAGCAUCUGUGGCAUAUGGAAGUUCCUAGUCUAGGGGUAAAAUCAGAGCUGCAGCUGCUGGCCUGCAUUUCUCUAAUAAUUAGCGAUGUCAAGAAUGUUUUCAUGUGCCUGUUGGCCAUCUGUUUAUCUUCUCUGGAGAUAUGUCUAUUCAGGUCUUUUGCCCAUUUUUCAAUUGGGUUGUUGGAUUUUUGCUGUCAAGUUGUAUAAUUUCUUUGUAUUUUUAGAGGUUAAUCCCUUUGUUAGUUGCAUCAUUUGAAACAAUUUUCUUCUAUUUUGUAGGUUAUAUACAUAUAUUUUUUAUGGUUUCCUUUGCUGUGCCAAAGCUUGUAAGUUUGAUUAGGUCCCAUUGGUUUAUUUUUGUUUUUAUUUCUUUUGAAUUAGGAAAUGGACCUAAGAAAAUAUUUGUAUGGUUGAUGUUUUGCCUGUGUUCUCUUCUAGGAGUUUUAUGGUGUCUUGUCUGAUGUUAAGUCUUUACACCAUUUUGAGUUUAUUUUUUGUGCAUGAUGUGAGGGUGUGUUCCAGUUUCAUUGAUUUUUUUAAAAUUUAUUUCUGAGUUCAUUAUUCUGUUCCAUUGGUCUGCAUGUCUGUUUUUGUACAAGUACCACACUGUCUUGAUUACUGUAGCUUUGGAUUAUUGUCUGAACACAGGGAGAGUUAUGCCUCCUGCUUGGUUUUUGUUCCUCAGGAUUGCUUUGGCAAUUCUGGGUCUUUUAUGUUUCCAUAUAAAUUUUUGGAUUAUUUGUUCUAGUUCUGUGAAAAUGUCAUGGACAAUUUGAUAGGGAUUGCAUUAAAUCAUUAGAUUACUUUGAGUAGUAUGGCCAUUUUAACAAUAUUAAUUCUUCCAAUUCAGGAGGAUGGAAUAUCUUUCCAUUUUUUGAAUCCUCUUUAAUUUCCUUAAUUAAUGUUUUAUAGUUUUCAGUUUAUAAGUCUUUCCCUUCCGUGAUCAGGUUUAUUGUUUUCUUUCUAUUGCUAUGGCUUUUUUAUACAUCAUUAUCACCUCUGAACUUGUAAAGCAUGGGAAUUUUGUUAUAAUAAAGACUGUAAUGAGGCAUAUUAUGCUUGUUCAUUUUUGUUCUCUUAUCUAAAUAUUGCCUUUGAGGUUUGAAUGGAGAUAUUAUAAUAGUAAUUGGAAGUUCAGCAGCACUAAAUGGUAAUAAUAUUUGAAUAAAGUUACUUUAGAAAAGCUUUGAGCACUAAGAGAUAAGUUCUGAAUAAUAUGGCAUAUCUUACAAAUAGGCCCUUUCUUUAAAAUAUAUUGCAAUCAUUCUUCAUCAGUAAGAAUUAACAUUUUAAGCAGGAAACAAUCAAACUAAUCUUAUAUUAUGGUAUAGUAUAAGAACUCUAUUGUAUUGCAAUACUUGUUUUACUUUACAAGAGAAAAAUAUAAUCAUUGGGCCAAUGAACAUAUCUACAGUUGCUUAGAUGCACUUACUACCUUAAUUUUAGGAAGAAGAAAUAUUUACUUGAUUUUAUCCAUCUAGACUAGGUGGGCAAAUUAUGAUUCUGGCCCAUCAUUUAUUUUUAUAAUGAGUAAAGAUAUAUGGAAGCACAGCUAUGCUCAUCCAUUGGCAUAUUCUCUAAGACUUCAUUUGCUUUAUAAGACAGAACUGAGUAGUCAUGACAGACACCACAUAGCCUGUUAAGCCAAACAUUUUACUACCUGACUGUAGAAAAAGUUUGCUAACACCUAAUCUAGGCCAUUAAAUUAGAUCCAAACAUCUUUGGAAAGUGGGAUUUGAAUACCUAUUAUACUUUUAUUUACAUACUUUGAUCUAAGAGUUGUGAAUCAUUGUCACUAUUCUCUAUAUCCCAUUGACAUUACAGUCAAAGGAAAACCUAGAGUGGUGUGGACUGGAAUGAAGAUAAAUGUUCCAUUUUGUUAAACCACAGUAUAAAUAAUGGAGUCCAAAAUAUAAUGGUCAAUUAUCUUCCACAAAUUUUAAUGAGAUAAUGUCAAAUAGGAAAAAUAAGGAUUAAUUGAACCUAAUCAUUGAUCUCACAUUGUAUAGAAUAGCAUCUCUUUACCUCAAAUUUUCAAAUCAAUUGUGUAUGAUAUUUAAGCAUAAACAAGAAGAAAAAAAAUCAAUGUUGAUGAAAAAGAGAGGUAUAUUAAAACAAGAUUGGAAGUUGCAGAAACACUGAGACUUUGACCUUGCAUUACUGCAGUGUACAUAAAGGGACUGAGAGGGCAAGGUCAGAGAAUCUUGUUGAUCCCUUGGUGUUUUCUUUGGUGAAAUCAAAUUUGAAACUCUUUAUGUCCUAAAAAGAUAUUGGAGGCACUUGCUGGCAUAUGUCUGACAUAUACAUAUAAGUGUAGCCCUCAGUUAUAAAACAUCAUUCAGAUUUACAUUCUUUUUAAUAUAAUCUUUGGUUAUAAGGGAAAGAAACCUUUUAAUUGUCAAAUUGCAUACAACCAAUUGCAUAUUGCCAUUCACUUUAGUUCACAAAGGAUAAUAGACAUGAUACCUAUGAUAAUCAAUUCCUAUUAUUUUAUUAUUAUAUUUAAUCUUACAGCCUUCAAGAUAAUGGGAUGCAUUGUUCCAGGAAGAGCAUAUGUUGUAAAAGAGUCAGAGUAUUUAAAUAACUAAUAAAUAGUUAAAAUGUAUUUUUAAAGAGAAGUUUGCUAACUUGUGGUUAUAUACAUUUUGGAAUUUUGGUAAAAAGAAUUUAAGACUCACUAUAUUAGCUGACCAGAAAAAUACACAGAAAUUUAGGCAUGAAAAUAGGAAAGCAUAACUUUUACAUACUUUCAAAAACAGGAAAGUGGUGGGAAAUAAAAUGGAGCCUAGCAGCAUUGUGCAGAGGAUUAAAAAUGCCUGAGAACAUAAAAGCAUGUUUUCAAAUCAUAAAUACAUUUUAUAUAACAAGUAGGAGAGCCCAAGGCCCUCUUAAUCACUGCAUCUGUUAUUUUUUCCUGCUAUUAUAGUGAUUAAAAAGCAGCAGUAAACUAUAUCUCUCCUAUCUGUAGGAAUGACUGCAUGGAAUAAAACAGCAGAACAACACAGCCUCAGGAGCUGGUGAAGUUCAUUUACUGGCAACACCCCUAGGGUGCAUCACUUGAGUGGAGGUAGUUUCUGCAUUAGUUUCUCCCCACCCUCUCACUCUUGUGCUGACAAAUAGGAUUUAAUGACCAGUGAAUGCAUAAUAGAAAUAACUAAUUUUUCAUAUACCCUAUGGAUAAGUACCUACUUUGAAAGCCUUCAACUACUUCUAAAAGAUAAAAUUACCCUAAAUUUAAAAAAACAAACAUGCCGAGCACAGAUAUUUUAACAAAUAUUCAGCAAGCUCUACAGACAAUUUCAAAGGAAAAUCUCAAAAAGAUAAUUCAGGUAAGAACAACAGAAUGGGUAAGAAUUGUAUAGUUCAUUUAAAAUGACUAUUCUUAAGAUCAACACACUGAGAAGUACAAUGCCUGUUAUGUUUGCUACAAAAUCAGUCUCAUUAACAAAUACAUACGAAUAUAUUUUCACACCUCAUAUACCUCUGAAUCCAAAUCAUAAGACUAUCUUCUUCAAUUAAUGAAAGGCAGAUUACAAAGGGAAAGAGGAGCACCUAGAGAAUUAUAUUAGAACAACAAAGCUAUUAGUAACACUCAGCACAGAAGCACUGGAGUGUUUUAAGUAAGAAGCACUGUUUAUUUUUCUAGGCCAUGUUCUAAAGACAAAAUGAAACCUUUAAGUACAUUUGCAUACAUUAAUACCAGAAGGAGUUUUAGAAAAGAUUAAAAACAAUAUCGACUCUAAUAUUUAAUUAUCUUCUUCUUUGGUUAUCUCUCCAAUGAUUUAAAAAAGCAGAAGUUAAUUGUACCAAGAAAACUACUUGUAAAGAAAAUAAAUAUUCUUUGUCCAAUGAGCUAUUUACUGAAAUGAGUUCAUCUGACCUUACCUAGCUCAGUUAAUUAUAUUGUUUGACAUUCCAACUCAAAGGUCCCACCAUACUUUAAAAAAAAAAAAAGUAUGCUGAAUAUAUUUCUAUCUGCUGAAGCUUACAUCAAGUUCACUUCUUUCUAGACUAGAUAUUAAGAUGAUCAACACUUUAUUUUUCCCUAGACUCCUAUUCACUGAUAUGCACAGUGC